AACGAACGCUGGCGGCAUGCCUAACACAUGCAAGUCGAACGAGACCUUCGGGUCUAGUGGCGCACGGGUGCGUAACGCGUGGGAACCUGCCUUUAGGUUCGGAAUAACUCAGAGAAAUUUGAGCUAAUACCGGAUGAUGUCUUCGGACCAAAGAUUUAUCGCCUUUAGAUGGGCCCGCGUUGGAUUAGCUAGUUGGUGGGGUAAAGGCCUACCAAGGCGACGAUCCAUAGCUGGUCUGAGAGGAUGAUCAGCCACACUAGGACUGAGACACGGCCCAGACUCCUACGGGAGGCAGCAGUGGGGAAUAUUGGACAAUGGGCGAAAGCCUGAUCCAGCAAUGCCGCGUGAGUGAUGAAGGCCUUAGGGUUGUAAAGCUCUUUUACCCGAGAUGAUAAUGACAGUAUCGGGAGAAUAAGCUCCGGCUAACUCCGUG
rnacentral:rRNA from 1 species